rfam:Gallus gallus mitochondrial genome
GCCCCCAUAGCUUAACCCACAAAGCAUGGCACUGAAGAUGCCAAGAUGGUACCUACUAUACCUGUGGGCA